UGAGGGCUCAGAGAGGGUAAGUAGCUGCACAAGGCCCUGUGGCCAACAAGCAUCAGAACGCACAUUCUAGCCAGGCCUGUCCGACGGCGCAGUUCACACCCUCUCCCGCUGAGCUCCUCUACCUGGAAGGGUCACACCGUACCGGCUGACGCCGUGCUCCGAUCCUUUCAUCUGUUGUGUGGUUUAAUGAAUUCACAAAAAAUAGAGCAUGUCCAGGUGUAACUUAGAGAAGCAGACUUCUAGAGCUAAGAUCGGUACUUUAGACAUCAUCAGUCCUUCACCUUGAUUUUCUUUUUCAAUUUUAAUUUUAACCAGGUAAUGCUUGCAAACGGUAUAGGAGUUCAAAAUUUAACAAAAAGCGAGGCAGUGAAGAGUCCACCCACUCCUCUCCCAUCGCCUAGGACUUCCUGCCCCUGGAGGCAGCUGCUGCCAUCUGAUUCUCCUCCAGAGUUCUGUCCAGCAUUUUGCCAGCCGUGUUUGGAAGCCCAGGCUACCCACCAGCUCCCAGAGGCCAGCAUAGGAAGGAAAGGCCGG
rnacentral:lncRNA from 10 species